UACGUAGGGAGCAAGCGUUGUCCGGAAUCAUUGGGCGUAAAGCGCGCGUAGGCGGCUCGAUCAGUCUGCUGUAAAAGUCAAAGGCUCAACCUUUGAAUGCCGGUGGAUACUGUCGGGCUAGAGUCCGGAAGAGGCGAGUGGAAUUCCUGGUGUAGCGGUGGAAUGCGCAGAUAUCAGGAGGAACACCAACGGCGAAGGCAGCUCGCUGGGACGGUACUGACGCUAAGGCGCGAAAGCGUGGGGGACGAACGAGG
rnacentral:rRNA from 1 species